rnacentral:lncRNA from 1 species
CCUGUCCAACUCCUUCCUUGUGAGGAUGAUAUUUGAAGACAUUUGGCAGAAGAGCUAAUUUAGCCGAGACACAUGAAAACUAAAAGAGUCUUGGCAAAGUCGUUUUCUGUAUCACACUAACACUGUCUAGGUACAUGUUUAUUUCAUUCCAACAGUCUGAAAUUCCAAAUUCAGAGGGGAAAAAAUAAAUUCGAAUAGGGCGAUUGCAACUGCGAAGACAUUUGCCACCACUUUCCUCCACACUAAUCAUCAUAUACCACCUCAAUACUGGGAAACUAGAAAACUCUGGCUAGUAAAGUUCGACAGUUAUGUUUAUACGGUCCCCUUCUCCAGCGAACUUUAAAUAGCAAACUAUAAACGAACUGGCUAUAGCGAUAAUUUUUUGAGCUAUAGCGACGGUUUGAACCGUGAGCAUAAUUAUGUCGUCGGCUUUGUAUGCUAUAGUGACGGAAAAAACCGUCGUUAUAGUUGGUUCUCUUUUGAAGAAGGGGACCAUAAUUAUGUUAUCGGCUUUGUAUGCUAUAGAGACGGAAAAAAUAACCGGUUCGCUGUUUAAGGUUCGCUGAAGAAGGGGACCAUAUGUUUAUAUAUCCCUCUUAAAUCUUUAUCAUUUCUCAUAGGCCAUGUUUUAUUAAUUGAAACUUGAAAGUACGAAAAAGUCUC